rnacentral:lncRNA from 1 species
UGGUUGGUUGGUUUGGUAGGUUGGUUAAACACGUUGGUUAAACAAGUUGGUUACAACACGUUGGUUUUAAAACACGUUUGGUUAACACGUUGGCUGGUUAACACGUUUAGAUAGGCUCAAUUUAAACCGAGCGGAAAAAAAACCAUCUUGGAUCCCGUAUUAACACAUGAAACGGAAACAUGCAUUGAUUGAUUGAACUUGAUUGAUUGGGUGGUUGGUUGUUAAAACAUGGUUGGUUAAAACACGUUGGUUAACACGUUGGCUUGGUUAACCACGUUAGAUAGGCUCAAUUUAAACGAGCGAAACAAAAACAUUCUUGGAUCCCGUAUUUAUACACAUAAACGGAACAUGCAUUGAUUGAUUGAUUGAUUGGUUGGUGGUUGGUUGGUUGGUUGGUUGGUUACACGAUUGGUUAAAAGCACGUUAGUUACAACAUAUUUGGUUAAACAUGUUGGUUAAACCGUUUGAUAGGCUCAAUUAAAAACAAGCGAAAAAAAAAGAGACGUUGAAUCCGUAUCAACACACAUGAAAACGGAACAUUGAUUGGAUUGAUUGAUGAUUGAUUGAUUGAUUGACUUGAUUGAUUGAUUGGUGUUGGUGGUUGGUUGGUUGGUUGGUUGGUUGGUUGGUGGUUGGUUGGUUGGGUUGGUUAGUUGAUUGAUUGUUGGUUGGUUGGUUGGUUGGUUGAAAUUCAAACACAACAUAAAACCUGUUUAAAAUAGUGCCAAAACCACAUAAUUUGAUGACCUUGACCUUUGACCUUGUGACCUUCGUCAAGGUCAUUGAUCCACAAGGUCAUUGCAAAAGACCCUAUGGUCAAGGACCUUGUUAAGAGUUUUGGCUAAAUAAGGCUUUUUAAAAACCAUCGAUGGGAGUAUGUCCCUUACGAUGAUGGUAAAAAUCAAUAUAGUCAUAAUGUAAAAAAGUUUGCCCCUUGAAGUAUUAACAUUUUCACUGCUUAAAUUUCUGUAUCUAUAACCAUUCAGAAUUUAAGGGAAAUCAAAAGACAUAUGAAAGUCAUCUAAAAUAUGAACCUUGACUUUGACCUUGACCUAUUUUCUAAGUUUAGGAAGUCAGGGGGACUCACAUAAAACAUUCAGGGUUACCGCCGGUAACGCGUUCUAUGAGUUAAAAAAAUAUAUCCGACCAAUUUUAUUUCCGUAAAGAUAGAUACCUUCCUAUACAAAUUUUCCCAAAUCGAAUUUCGCUUUCGAUUUCCAAAUUAGCCAAAAUUUCUGAGGCAUGUACACGAACAAUCUUUAAAAAGAAUUUUGGUCGCUAUCUUUUUCUUGUUACGAAGGAGAUCGCACACACUCGCAUACCACACGUGAAUCAGGGCAGCAUCAACCUCUUACAGAGACAUUGCUUCCGUCCUUACGCAAGGCGUCGACAAUUUAAAACGCAUUAAAACUAUACGAUACAAUAUGAGAAAUAUCUAAGCGACAUAUUGCGAAACAAACAUUUAUCGCAAGAACAAAAGUUGGCGGAAAAAAAAAAAAAUAAUAAUAAUAAUAAUAAUAAUAAUAAUAAUAAAUAAUAAGCAAUUUUUUUGAAAACAAUUUGUUAGCAGUCUUUUCCCCUCUGUGAAAUGGAUAAUUGGGUUUUUUUAUGAUUGAUUUGGAAAAAAAGGGGGGGGGGGUAUUUGUUUGUUUGUUUGUUUUUGUAAAGGGUCUAUAUUAUUAUGUUACCGGAGAAGUUUCAUGUUUAGUUUGGAAAGUUUUUCUUUUAUUUUAGAUACAGCGCGCGCGCAAUAUUGAGGAGACAUCACGUGACGCGGGUUUAUAUUAAGAAAAACUUAGUCUUUUAAUUUCUUUUUAGGUCGGGACCUUGAACAGACAACAUGUCGAGAGAUGGAAUGUACACAAUGUAAUUUCUUUUGUCAUUGUAGGAAAUUGACAUUUUGAUCACAGUUCACCAGCAGUGCAUGUUUUGGAUUAAUUGUUCGGUGUAACUUUCAAUACACAUUUAAUGAUUAAUUUUUUGAUAUGUCCAUUUUUCAGACCUGUUUGUAACACAGAUUAGUAUUUCAAUCUCGGAGCGGACAUUUUAUUGUAGGUUUUUACUGAGAUUGACGGACCUAGCAAGCGAUUUUUACGGCAUUGCGAUUUCUUUUUUCUAGGAAAAGUCUUGAGAGAUAUCUGCAAAAGGUUUUUUUAUGAACCUUCAGUACAUGUAUGCCCUGCUGACUGCAAAUUUUCAGGUCGAUUGGACUUGUAGUUUCAGAGAAUAUGUGGAUUUUUUUUCAGAAGAGACGUAAGAACAAUAAUAAAAUAAAAAUUUUCUUGAAUAAUUGAGAGUUUGUUCCUUCAAUAAACUGUCAUAAAUAAACAGUCAUACAUAUUGAUUGAUUAGUUGGUUGAUUGAUUGGUUGGUUGGUUGGUUUGUUGGUUGGUUGAUUAAACACGUUUGAUAGGGUCACUUAGAACAAGGGGAAAAAGACCUCAAGAGACCUUGCAUCCCGUAUUAAACGCAUGACACGGAAACAUACAUUAAGUGAUUGAUUGGUUGGUUGGUUGGUUGGUUGGUUGGUUAAACACAUUGGUUAAACAUGUUGGUUUAACACGUUGGUUAAACACGUUGGCUGGUUAAACACGUUUGAUGGGCUCAAUUUAAACAAGCGAAAAAAAAACAUCUUGGAUCCCGUAUUUAACACAUGAAACGGAAACAUGCAUUGAUUUAUUUAUUGGUUGGUUGGUUGGUUGGUUGGUUAAACACGUUGGUUAAACAUGUCGGUUAAACACGUAGUUUAAACACGUUGGCUGGUUAAACACGUUUGAUAGGCUCAAUUUUAACAAACGAAAAAAAACCAUCUCGGAUCCCGUAUUUAACACAUGAAACGGAAACAUGCAUUGAUUGAUUGAUUGGUUGGUUGGUUGGUUAAACACGUUGGUUAAACAUAUUGGUUUAACACCUUGGUUAAACAUAUUGGUUAAACACGUUGGCUGGUUAAACACGUUGGAUAGGCUCAAUUUAAACAAGCGAAAAAAACCAUCUUGGAUCCCGUAUUUAACACAUGAAACGGAAACAUGCAUUGAUUGAUUGAUUGAUUG